rnacentral:misc_RNA from 1 species
UAACUAAUGCGGCUCAAUUGGACUCUUACUACCAUGUCACCCAAAAGGAACUGAUUUCUCCCUUGGUAUGUUGUCAAACGUUGAUAAGAUGCAGCUUGGAAUCCAAGAUCCAUUUCGUCAAACAAAUGAUCCAAGGAUACUACGCCUGGUGACUUGUAAUAUAAUUGCACAAAUACACCUAGUGAACCGAAAAACCGUUUACUCAAUGGUAGUGAUAAUACUCCAUCUAUUCGCAAUGGUUCCGUGUUCUCUAUCGAUGGCAGCACUUUCCAGACGAUGAAAAUCGACACGGCAAAUAUCCUACAAUGACUAA